CCUACGGGGGGCAGCAGUGGGGGAUAUUGCACAAUGGGGGAAACCCUGAUGCAGCGACGCCGCGUGGGUGAAGAAGCGUCUCGGCGUGUAAAGCCCUGUCAGCAGGGAAGAAAAUGACGGUACCUGACGAAGAAGCCCCGGCUAACUACGUGCCAGCAGCCGCGGUAAUACGUAGGGGGCAAGCGUUAUCCGGAUUUACUGGGUGUAAAGGGGGCGCAGACGGCGAUGCAAGUCAGGAGUGAAAGCCCGGGGCUCAACUCCGGGACUGCUCUUGGAACUGCGUAGCUGGAGUGCAGGAGAGGUAG
rnacentral:rRNA from 1 species